GUGGAAUCAGAUGAUAAACUUUAUGUUUAUAAACUAAAAUAUUAAAAACGAUCAACUUUCAUUAUAGGGAAAUCUGUGUCUAGUUUAAACCUUCGCAACAUCAGGGCGUUAAAAAGCGAUACUAUUCCUAAAACGACGAUAUGAAAAAUGUCCAUUCUUCCCUACAGAAGUCAUUUUGUCGGCAAACUUAAACUUAAUAGUCGAAAUCCAAUACCCGGAAGUGGAUCUAAAUAUAGUAUGCCUGAGGACUCAGGGAUGUUGGUAUAAAAGCCCCGCUUCAAGUCUAAGGUGAAGGGCCUGUGAUAGUUAUAAAAGUCAAAAUUUUUGAACAGCCUCAGUCCACUACUCUUUGAAUUAGCUCCCCCCCCCCCUCCAGCCGGAAUAGGGUUAGGAGUGUAAAGCAUUAUGAGAUUAAAAUUUAUUUUAUCAUGGCCGACCCCUUAAUCAUUAUUAAAGUUACAACAAGAUGGACUUAGUUGUCAGUGUCGAUUAAAGAUUUCUGAGAUUUUGGGACUGAUUAUUAUGCUUAGAGUUUAUGGAGCAGUACUCUUAAAAACUAAUCUUUCUGUAGCUACUCUAACAGGAAACAUUCUGCAACUACUCAACAGGAACCUUUCUGUAUCUUUACUAAACUAUUCUGUAGCUAAGAUAUUCAACAGAAACCAUUCUAUAGCUACUUUACUUUACAAGAACCGUACUGGAACUUCUCUUCUCAAUUGAACCAUUCUCUAGAUCUCAAUUGAACUGGAACCAUUCUGUAGCUUCUAUACUCAACAGGAACCAUUCUUUAGCUAAUAUACUCAACAGUAACCAUUCUGUAGCUACUAUACUCAACAGUAACUAUUCUGUAGCUACUAUGCACAACAGGAACCAUUCUAUAGCUACUCUACUCAACAGGAACCAUUUUGUAGCUAAUCUACUCAACAGGAACCAUUCUGUAGCUACUAUACUCAACAGUAACCAUUCUGUAGCUACUAUAUUCAAAGUGAACCAUUCUGUAGCUACUUUACGCAACAGGAACCAUUCUGUAGCUACUCUACUCAACAGGAACCUUUCUGUAGCUACUCUACUCAACAGGAACCUUUCUGUAGCUACUCUACUCAGAAGUAACAAUUCUGAUGCUACUCUUAUUACAGGAACCAUCCUGUACUGCUCUACUCAACAGGAGCCUUUCUGUUGCUACUUAACUCAACAGAACCAUUCUGUAACUACUAAACUAAGCAGGACCAUUCUACACUCUACAGCCACUUUAAGUAUAAGACCUAAUCAUGGCUAAAUAAUGCAGAGAUAAGCAAACACAUACAACCAAAAUGAUAUUUUUUUUCAUGAAAGAAAGGGUUAACCCAACCCAAACGACAAAUUACAUUAAACCUCUCGCUUGAAGACCCAAAACUCAGGUGUGAGGGAGGACUUGAGUGAAUGUCUAGGUAGCAGAGGGACCUUCCUUCUGUGCGGCUUGACCUGGGACCAUACUAACCAUGACAUGUGUGGUCCAAACAGGCUCCCUCGCUGAGGGGUUGAGUGACGUAUCGACUUAGACUGAUGAUUACUUUUCAAAAUUAAUUAGUUAAUAUCUUAAACGGAUAAGAGGGCUGAAGAUAGCAGUCAAAGGGAGAUGGGGCUACAGAACUUGCUACCUCUACUCCCCGAUAACACUUUUCAUUGCACUUGAUGAGUAUAAGAUGGAUUGGUGGGAUGAGUAGAUACUUGGGAAACAUUCAUGUUAAGAGGUUGUCAUAAUUAAAAAGUACUAAAGAGGAACCAUUCUGUAGCUACUCUACUCAACAAGAACUAAUUCUGUAGCUACUAUAUUCAAAAGAAACUCUUCUGUAGCUACUCUACUCAACAGGAACUAAUUCUGUAGCUACUAUAUUCAAAAGAAACUCUUCUGUAGCUACUCUAAUCAACGGAACCUAGUUUCUACAACUUCUUUGCACAGGGAUCUGUCUGUAACCUCCCUUCAGGUGGAUUCAUUGCAGCCAAUCUGACCUUCUUCUCUAUUACUGCAAAAUACACAGGAUUAAUAGUGGUAGAUCAGCUGAGCGAAUGGGCGGUCGACCCAUGGGAGCACCACCAAGGGACUAUCCACCAUCAGGGCGGAGUUACCCGCCACGAGGAGGCGGAGGGUUUGAUGAGAGGCGGGCGAGAACACCCCCGCCUCCCAACUACAGAUAAAUCAAGCUUCUGUGUUCCAAAGACUAAAUGUUUGUUGAAUCAUAACUGUAAUCGUUUUCAACCAAAUUGACUUAUUAAAUAAUUUUUUUUCAGGUAUAGUGCUUGAUAAUUCAAUUUAUAAAUAGUAUCAACAAAUGUUGAAAGCACAUUGCAUUUAAAUGUCAAUGUUUGCCAUUUUUGUAAAAAUAAUUUUCAUUUUUGUUGUAAAAUAUUCAAUAUAUAUGUGUGUAAUUUUUUA